rnacentral:tRNA from 1 species
GCUGGUGUGGCUCAGUGGUUGAGCAUCAACCUGUGAACCAGAAGGUCACUGGUUUGAUUCCGGUCAAGGCA